rnacentral:ncRNA from 2 species
CUCUUAUCAAGAGAGGCUGAGGGACUGGCCCUGAGACGCCCAGCAACCUGCACAAUAUGAUGCAAGGUGCUAAUUCCUGCAAAGUGCAAUCACUUUGAAAGAUAACAA